UCUAAGAAACACAGUGAGUCAGUUCUGUAAAUGGUAAUCUGGCAGCACAUCUAUUCUCCAAUAACUUUCAACCAUUUAUGUUCACCCUAUAACCUACUCCAUCCUUGGGCAGGAUAGGGGCCAUUUAUUGUCACCUGGGAAUAAAGAAUUAGCAAGUUAAUCAAUUGCUGUAAAGAAGGCCAGCCAGUUUUGCAUUUCCCAAAUCUGGUUCUCUCCUUCUAUAGCUAUUUCCCAAGUUUGCUGUUUCUGUCACUUAGAAAGUUUGAACGUGAUAACUUAAGAUUAUAUCACAGAGUUCAAAGUUUUAAAGACCAUAAUUCUUCCUUGUUCUUUUGACUGAGGAUCUUGACCUUUAACCUAAGAGAUAUUUAAGAUGUUUGAAAGUUAGUUGAAUUCUUUGAUCAACUAAUAAGGGUUUGCAUUAAUCAAAAGCAAAAACAGGAGAAAUUAAAGUCCUAAUGUGUUCAACUUACACUUCAGGAGACUUUACUUCUAAGGAAGAGGACAUGGGCAUGUUACCUAAGCACGGAUGUUUUUUGCUUUGCUCUUUCUCUGUCUCAGGCACAUAGGACAGUGCCUGCCUAAGGUAGGAAUCCUAAUCAUAUAAUAUUUAUUGAAGGAAAGCAUGAAUGAAUGAAUAAGCAAACGAAUAAAUUGGAUGCUUUCAGCAGGAGC
rnacentral:lncRNA from 1 species